rnacentral:misc_RNA from 1 species
UCCGCCCGCUCUACUCAGUUACGGUCGAGGUUAUGUAGAGUGUGUAAGUGCUGUGCAGAAAGUGGGCGAAAUAAAACCAAAAUCGAUGGUAUUCGGCGAUGGCCGAGGAGUUGUUAGUAGUGCUGAAUAGAAAUGAAAGUUCGGGCUUUGGAUUUUCACUGCUGGGCAAACCCGGAUUACCUCCCAUCAUCUACAACAUCCUAGACGAUUCUCCGGCGGCCGAGAGCGGAGAGGUCGAAGUAGGCGAUGUGAUAUUAAAAGUAAACGAAACUGACGUCAUCAAGUACAGCACUAGAGAAGUUUUAAAAUGUCUACGCCUAUCCACAGACCCCGUAACACUAAAAAUUAAACGCGAUCCAAAGAUCAAGUCCACCGUUCGCAAGCACCUCCAAUCGACGGCGGGAGGCGGCGGCGUCGUCCGCGACCGCUCGCCACCCGGGGGCGGCCACAGACCGCGGCCUGAGCCUUCUUCACAUCGGCACCACGCGCGUCACGCCGCCCCCAACGGCCGGUUGCCGCCCGAGCACGAACCGCUGCUCGCCGAGUCGCAACAGCAGCACCACCAUCACCACCACGAGCGGCUGCAGGGCGGCGAGCAGGCGGUGCCGCCGCCCACGGGGCUUGGCGGUGGCGGCGCGCCCAAGUUCGAGGCCUACAUGAUGACGGGAGAGCACAUACUGAAUAUAUCGAGGAUGCCGCAGGCGGGCGGCAUAGUACCUAAGCAACAGAAGAAGGCGGACCAUUCGAGAUACCAUAACAGCCACGCCCACCACCUGCGCCAUCAGCCGGCGCAGUACAACUCAGUGCCAAAUAGUCCGAACGAAACCGAACUAGGCCGAAGCGGCCGAUCGUCGGGACCGAAUUCGGCGCACACGUCGCCAGUGGGCGCCACCAGAAAAGAUCACCCACCUAUACAGCAGCAUUCUCCACAAGAUGCCUACGCAACGAAUAGCUUCGUUAGAACUAGUCGUAGCGAAGAUCAGCUACAGAUGCAGAACAACCUAGGUGGCGCUGUUAGUACUGCCAAUGCAGAAGCGGACGAAGAUAUCGCCAGCUCCCUAAAUACCCUUCUAGACACUAGGCCUGACUCUGCCAACAGUGACAGCGACAGGAUCGUCUGGACGUAUAACGCGCCCGUUUCGGAGCUGCACAAGCUGGGGCACACGCUGUCCAACGGCAGCAGCUCGUCGCACAGCAACACCUCCGCGUCCAGCAGCCCCCUACAAACUGGCUCACCCAACUCGCCCACCUCCGUCUCUUCCUCGGUGAUGUCGAGCCAGUCGGGCUCGCGCCGACUACCUUACUCCCUCACCAAUGGACCUCACCAACAGCAGACCUUCGAUUUCAGCAUGUCGGAAGCCAUUUCGAACAUUUCGAGCCCCGACUACCACGACGACGAUGACAGCGUCGGCAUCCACGACUGCGUCAUGGAGAUCAGCGACCACAGCGACAGCGACAGCACGCUGCUGGGCCCGGAACCUGGAGGAGGUAGGCUGCGCGGCACCCUCGUCAGGCAGUCCUCGGACGGUGGUACUGCGCACAGCGGCGAUCACAGGAUCGUCAUACAGGUGCGCGGGCCCCAGGAAAAGAAGGGCCACUUGCAGGGUAACGGCGAUAUCGUCGGCGGUGGUGGGGGAGAGGUUCAUGCGCAGCAGGACUACCAUGACGACGAUUACAAAGACGACGAGAAAAGAUCUUCGCCAUUGUCUUCUGAGGACGAAAGCGACGUGGAAAGCCUACAUAGUUUCCACUACUCGCCGAAAGCGGUGGACAUGCCCUCGGCGAUCCGAUUGGCCAAGAGGCUGUUCAGUUUGGACGGGUUCAAGAAAUCCGACGUCUCGAGGCAUCUUAGUAAAAACAAUGACUUUAGCAGGGCUGUGGCAGAAGAAUACUUAAAGUAUUUCAACUUCGAAAAGGAAACGUUAGAUACGGCGUUAAAAAAGUUCCUCAAACAGUUCUCUCUGACUGGCGAGACGCAGGAGAGGGAACGCGUUUUAGUUCAUUUUUCCAAAAGGUAUUUGGAUUGCAAUCCUGGAUCGUUCAAUUCGCAAGAUGCUGUUCAUACACUGACAUGCGCCAUCAUGUUACUGAACACCGACUUGCACGCGCAGAACAUCGGUAGAAAGAUGACGUGUAGCGAAUUUAUCGAGAAUCUCACUGAUCUGAACGAGGGCGAGAAUUUUCCUAGGGAUGUGCUGAAACAGCUCUACCACGCCAUUAAGAAUCAUCCGUUGGAGUGGGCACUAGAUGAGGAACAGGAAAACGCACCAGUCCCGGCUCAGGUAGUUUAUGACGUUAUAAACCUAAGCGGAAAUCCCUUAUUGGAACUGCCAAAUCCCUUGACAAUGGUGGAAUAUAAGAAGGGCUACGUCAUGCGGAAGAGCUGUUACGAGACCAACGCCAAAAGAAGCCUCUGCUGCGUUUUUCUAGCGCCCUUCCACAAGCGCAGCUGGAAGAUGUUCUACUGCACGCUGCGCGAUAUGGUUCUGUACCUGCACAAGGACGAGAACGGGUUCCGCAAGAACCAGAUGGGUGGGGACAACAUCCACAACGCCAUCCGGAUCCACCAUGCGCUCGCCACCAAGGCGCACGACUACACCAAGAAGCAGUACGUUUUCCGGUUGCAGACGUUCGAUCAAUCGGAGUUCCUCUUUCAGACCAGCGAUUCGAAAGAGCUACAAUCCUGGAUCGACACUAUCAAUUUCGUGGCCGGUAGUUUUUCCGCGCCGCCACUGGAAUCGGCUGUGGGUUCCCACAGGAAGUUCCAAAGGCCGCUCUUGCCCUGUAGUCGUACUAGAUUUAAUUUGCGUGAACAAUUAGCUGAUCAUGAGGAGAGAGUAUUGAGACUGGAAGCCAUGUUGGAAGAACAUAGAAAAUCCCCGCCUGAGAAGGGUUCUAAAUCACUGAUAGUUCAAAACUACAAAGAGAAAGAAACGUAUUUAAAAUUUGAGAUCGACAAGUACACCACCUACAUCCGGACGCUGCGCACCAGAGCGCCACCUCAACCCCUCCACGUUCCCGCGCAGUCCACGACGAUCGUCGAGCCUGCCCCCGCGGUGCGACUGGCCGAGAACAGCAUCGGCGAGGUGGACGAGACGUCGGGGGGCGGCGGCCACGUCACCCUGGUGGAGGGGGUGGGCCUGGUGCCGCCUCCCAUACCCGAGCGCAAGACCUCCUCGUCGCCCGUCACCAACAGGAAAAGCCCGGAAUGAGCCCCCUGGCGGUAGAAGCAUGGACUUGUUUGGCUGCAGUGUCUGUAUCGCUCUCUGUUGCAAAUUGAAGAGGCUGGAGCAAGAUAUUUGUUUUAGUAUUGUGCCAGAAAUUAUCCAGGUUUACGGAUAUCCAAGGACCACUCUGCCAGUGAAGAAGGAGAUGACGAAUAUCAACACAGCAACAGAUCUUCAAGUCGCAAAGAAACCAGGCUGCCUUUGGAUGGAAUGGGUAUGGAAUGGACUAAGGAUCGGUAUGGGUCUGGACACGUCAUAUAGUUCAGGUCGUACCUGAGCUCGGGCGCUGUAUCCAGACGUGCUGCACUCGGGAGUGAAUGUGCGCCUUUACACAUUUUGCCAUUUUGAUCGGUACAAUCGCGGGUAGGGCCCAGCUGGACUCGAGAGAUGAUCGCAAUCGAAUGGGGACACACAAUUGUAAUUACCAAACUACACUUACUUCACCCAUGCAGACGGCUCAUGGAAUGCUAUCACGUGAAAAUCCAUCAACGCUCCCAGCUAGUAAGCGUGCGGUUUAAUGUC